CUGGCAGCAGCCAGCCAACUGGAGAGCCAGCGACCGGGGUGGGGGCAGGCAGAGCGUCGUCGCUGCUGGUGGGCAGGUCGGAGCUUCCUUAGCACGUGGUGGUAGGGGCAAGGCCUAAAGGAGAGACUCUCUCCGCUGCCAAACGAACCGAGCCGGCUCACACCGCCAGGGGAAGGAUGGGUCUGCUUUUGGAAGUCAGUGUAACAUCAUCAGUCCCUCUUGGCGGUUGCGGGUUUUCAGAGAAUGGAGAUGGGAGAAUAAAGGACAGCAGGAGCAAGGAACAAUAGCCUUGGGAGAAUGUUAGGCACUUAAACCUCAUGCGCUGUGACACAGAAGCCCUACCCAGACCCUUAGAUGUCUGAGAUUUCACAACUACUACCCUCAUGCUCUCAAGCUUUUUUGCUGCAAGAACUAGAAAUCUGCAUGUUUGAAAGAACAACAUUGAGGCCAGUUUGUCCUGAGCUAGGUGCCCCUGACAGCCACCUAAUGGUGCAACAGGGAAAUGACUUGAUUAGCAAGCCAGAGGGUGCCGGUUUGAAUCCCCGCUGGUAUGUAUUCCAGACUAUGGUAAACAGCUGUAUCGGGCAGCAGCGAUAUUAUAGGAAGAUGCUGAAAGGCAUCAUCUCAUACAGCACAGGAGAUGGCAAUGGUAAACCCCUCCUGUAUUCUACCAAAGACAACCACAGGGCUCUGUGGUCGCCAGGAGUUGGCAUCGACUCGGUGGCACACUUUACCUUUACCUUAAGUGCCCCUGAGGCUGAAGCUGUAGCAGAGUGUAACAGAGCGGAAACUGAGACUUGUUACAUUUAUUGAACAAAGUUACUAAGGUUUAUUACUUAACGAUUACCAAAUCAUAGACAACAAUCCUACUUUGUGUGAAAGAUCAUCUUAAUAGAAAACCAACAGUCUCAAGAGUCCAAAAAGAAAUACAAACUGACCCAUCAGUCUACUGAACGGAUUGACACAAACAUUCUAAACUCUACCCCAAGCCUAUACACAGCUAUACAUACAGUUCAUCAGUGGCAGGAACAAAGGCAAUGUAUAUACUCCUACAUCUCAACAGAAGCCAGGCUGAGGUGAGGUUGAUGCCAGACUGAGGCGAGGCAAGUUUGAUGCCAGGCCAGGUGAUGAUGCCAGGCCCUGGAGAGAGAUCUCAGGGUCCAAGUUGACUCACCACCAUUGGAAGGCAGACUAAGCCCUUAAGCCUUCAUGGAAAGCUGCAAGUAAAGUGCUUGAAAACAGAAGAGCUGGAUCAAACCAAGAGUUCAAGUGGGACGGUUGUUUUACUUUCCUUCUUCCCAAAGUUGAUUGGAUCAGUUGAACUUUGGAUUUUUUUUAAAGACAAAGGGGUUGUGUGUGUGGGAAGGACAUGUGUGAGAACUGUACAGUUAAAUGUUUCUGUUUAUUUAUAUUUGCAUAAAUAUAUUUAUCACUUGUUUUACUUUUAAUGUUCUCUUACAAAUUCCUUUGGUGUUUGGGGCCUUCAGAACCCACAUGCUACACCUAUGCAACAGCUUUGCUCCAGUGCAACAUCGUUCGGCACGUGCUUCUUUAAUCGGAACGUCAGCCAAUGAGUGCAAAUCUAUGCUGAUGAAAAGAGUUGAAGCAGUCAAACCUAUUCUAAAAUAAAUUUCCAGCUAUGUUAAAAAUUAACAUUGUUAAAACAACAGCUUAGAAAUACUGAGCAUUUGAAAACAUUCUAAUGUUAUUUUACAGUUUAACAGACUAAAAGAAAAUCAGUUUGUCAACCAUUCUGUAACUUUUUGGAGGAGUUUUUAGGAGAAAUUUGCCUUGGAAGAAAAGAUAUACGAUAUCAGUUCUACUAAUUCAUUCAUUUUUCAUGUUGACUGGAUUGAAAAAUGUUCAGCAUGUACACCAAUAAGAACCCCGUGGACACAAUCCAGCUUUGGACUGGAUUGUGUCACAUUGGACUGUGUUACAGUUAGUCACAUUGUCAAGCCCAAAAGUACCCCGGGCUGUGAGAAGGGCUUUCAUGCCCAGAACAGACAGGCCUCAGAGUUUCUUAGCACAGGUAGAGAGCUGAUUGCAUUAAGGUGCCUGUCAGUGCUCCUUAAUCCACUGAAUCAUCAGGCACUCACCAGCCAGC